UCUCUUCUCAGUCUCUCAACAAUGAGCUCCUCAGAGUCUUCACAAUCAAUUCCCUUCAAAUCCAAAAAGCCACUCCACUUCAAACCCAAGGCCGAAACUACCAAUCCGAAUCCGGUGACGACCAAAACCCCUGAGAAGCCGUCACAGCUCCUCCGGCGGGCCCGCAACAGUGGCGUCGCCCUCUCCAUCAAAGAAGUUCGAAAGGCAGCCCAAACACGAACACGGCCGCAACCACAUCUGACGGACGAGGUUGAAUAUGCCAGAGGGCAGAUCGGCUCAUGGCCCACAAAAUCCCCCGUAAAACCAGCUCAUGGGUCCAACAAAUUGCCGGAAAAGUAUAGGCAGCUAGCCGAGUUUUUUGAUAGCUUAGAUAGUGCGAUCCGGUUAUUGAAAUUGAAGCGAUCCAUGUCUACUUUCACCAGUAUCUGCCCAAAGAUCGAGUGUUUAACAGACAGGAGGUUCUCGUAUGGCCACUUGGCUCAGUUGAAGUUUAUACUUCCUGAAGCGGUUGAGAUAAAGAAAGUACUGAUGUUUGAUGAGAAGACUAGUUGUAUGAAGCCGGAUCUUCAUGUUACAAUAAAUGUUGAAGCGAUAGAAUGCGAUGGCAAGUCAAAAUCAGAUAGUAAGAACAUGGAUGUGAGGAAGGUUUUUCGUGCUCGGCUGAUGGAUUUUAUUAAAGGCCAUCCUGAGGGUGAUGAAGUUCCGGAGGAAGCAUUGCCAGAACCAUUCAGUCGUCUAAAGACAAAUCUGCAUUCAACACGCAAUGAGACAUCGAUUGAGUCAUCCUCAGAGCAACAACAAACAAUAUCAGUUAUCUGCUCGAGAGAUUCGCCUUUAAAAGUGAUCAAAGCUCCUGGCAUGUCAUUGGGCAUGGAGACAUCAACUUGUGUAUUUACAAAUCAGCAACCAGUUGUAGCAUCUCAUCUGUCUCGGUCUUUCAGAAGGCAUUUUUCUCAGCCGCUUACAAACAAUGAUGCAGAGCAAACUGAGGCUCAGCAAAGAUUAUCAAAGAUUUCCAAUGAACCUUCAGUUGUUCCACUGCUAGAGCCAUGCCCUGACAAUAUUUCCUCAAGUGAGGAAACUAAUGUUUAUGCUGCGUCCCCAAUUAAAUUAUCAUCUAAAUCAAUCAACAGUGACAAAUGUUUGUCAAGUUGUGAAUCUCCAGCUCAUUUGCUACCAGGUUGCCUGCCUGCAACUCCAAUGAAAGAGACAGACACUAAAAAUAAAGAUGGUUCUCUCGUAGAUAUUGAUGGCGUGCAGUCCACUCCUGCAAAACUUGCUUCUACACCAGCUAGGCUGAUGAGUUCAACACCUGCAUUAUGUACACCAAAAAGGAGAUGCUAUAUGACCCCAGAAGAUGUUUCUGCCAGCACACCAAACAAGUUAGUAAGGCGUCCACCUCGUAGCAGAUCAUUGAAAUUUGACACUCCAGUGAAGAAUGAGAAAGUUGAGGAUGAGGACAAGGAGAUAGAUGAUGCAUCAGUUGAUGAUGAUAUUCUUGAUAUUCUUCCUGAGAAUUUUAUUCAAUCGAUAAGAGAAAAAGAGAGGAAGACUAUGGAGGAGCGUGAUCCUGUGAUCUCUCAAGCGAAGAGGCGGCGACAGAUGAUUGCUUGCCUGCCCAAGCUCUUCAACAUGAUUCAUUACUUCUUUCAGUCUAUAAAACGUUCAGUCAUCACAAAAGAGGAGCUUAUUUACAAGAUAAUUUCAAGCCACUGUGAUAUAGUUGAUAAAAGAGAAGUUGAAGAGCAGAUGAGCUUGUUGUUGGAACUAGUUCCUGAAUGGAUUUCUGAAAAGUUGGCAUCUAGUGGCGAUUUGCUUGUCUGCAUCAACAAACUGUCAAGUCCAGAGUCCCUACGGGCACGGCUUGAAGAAGCAAAAUGAAUGGAGAUUGCCAGAUUAUUUAACUCACUGCAGUGUAUUGCGAGAUGGUGUAUAAGAUUCCCUUACAGUGCGCCUUUGUAAAUGCUAAUUAUUCCUUAUAUGCGAGCUAAUUUCCAUUCGGCACUGGUCUUUAGAGUAUUUGGCUCGGGAUACAAUGUCAGGUACCCUUUUAAGGCAGGAUUAGUCUCGUCAAGAAUAUACGAUGGACCAGAAACCGAUGGUAGAGGUAACCAACCACGGCGCAGCCGAUUUAUGCUCUAUGAGUAUUGUGAAGACUGCCGAUUGUGCUCCACCAAUACAGUUUAACCAUGCUAGCUUGUUGAAGGGUUAAAUACCUGCAGAAUGUACCAUACAGAGGCUGAUAUACAACUUGCAACAACCAGAAUUGAUCCUUUCAUCCAGUUCUCAUGAACAGAGUUAUUUCCGAUGUGGAUUGCAACGUCCUUGAGGCUAUGCACUGCAGGUCCUUUGUACAAAGUCAUGGUUGUGACCCCAGCUAACGAUAUUAGAGUUCCCAGGAUUUUAGCAAUCCCACUACGAUCUCUUACAUCAACAUGCUCCAACCUACAUCAAAUUCAUUUAGAAAGUUGCUCAUGAAAUCUAUGUGUUAAUGAAAUUAAGAGAAGUAAUUAUUUUAAACUGAUUAUUGAAUUAUGAAGUCCACACCUGAGAAUGACUGCAAAUAAGAAAGUCAAGCACGAGGUAGUAUUAAUCAUCGCUGUGAUGAAGGUUGGAGAGGUGUAUCUCAUACUUGCAAAAUACAUGUUAAGGGUUAAUCCAACUCUGGUUUUAUAUCACAAAACAAAACAGUUAGUCUCAUCAUUUUU